UUCUGGGUUUCCACUCUCCAAGAAGGAAAGACAGAUUUUUAUUUGCAUUCAUCUGGACAAUGUGUGUGCUUUAAAAUUUCCAUAGCUCUACCACUGCUUGUGAACUGUGAAGUGUCUGGAAGCUCAAGCGGUACCUGGAUCUACAGAGCUGUGCUUCUGGUUGAAAAUGAAGAAAAGCUUCCAACAAAGAUCAGAGGGCAAAUUGGGUGAUUUUGAAACUUAACAGGUCUUCUUAUUGCAAACUCCUCAGGAAAGAGAAGGGGCCAGCAAAGUGGAGAAAUGAGGGCACAGCCGAAAUUAGGCAAGGGGUGUCGGGAGGUAGAAAUCAAAUCUAUUUAAAUUUCACAAAAUCAGAAUGUAUAAAGUGAACCUAGCCACCACUAGUGUUGCUCAAAUUCCAUUCUGAGACUUAGUCAUUAAUAUUUAGCAUUUUUUGUGAUUAUUUUAUAGACAUGAUGUCAUUGUUUCAGAGUGUUUUACUAAUCACCAAUGACACAGUUGCCAGAGAGCAAAGUUACAAUGUAGUGAUGUUAUGAGUGGAAAAUGCUGCAAUUGUGGUGGGGAUGGGGGUGGGGAGAGAGAAGUUCAGAUUAAGUUCAAGGCAUUUCACUUGGAUUUUCUGGGUGAACCAAAUCUAGACUUCUCGGGGGGUUCUACAUCUUAGAACCAUGUUUAGAAACUCCCCGUUUUAUUGUUUUAAAAAAAUACCUAUAAAAGUUAAAGCUUCUGAAAUGGGGAUCUUGGGGAAAGGGAAUAAAACCACAGACAUUCCAGCAAAAACAACCUUCUUCUUUUUGACAACUCCAGGUUUAGACAUUCCUUAGGUUUAUUACCACAAAGCAGACCAGGCUGGCAAAGGAGCCAGCAGGCCCCGCGGUCCUUCUGUGCAGCGCGCUUGCAACAGCUGCUCUGACUAACGCACCUCCCGGGGGUGAUGGAUGUGCCCACUGCCGGGGAAGACCCAGGCGGAUGCAGAUGUUGCUGCAUGAGGAGAAGGACUCUCUGUUCCUGUUUUCCUAGCCCUGGGGAUCACGAGGAGAUUUAAUUAUACUGGACUUUCUCUCCACUCAUCAGCAGAAAAGUGCAGAAUAAAUAGACGCACUUGAAUAGAGAUUACAGAAACUCUGAAAUAAAGCAAACACCAGCUACAGAGCAACUUCUGCCUCAAGAAACCCCUCCUUUCAGAUGUUUGCAAUUGUGAUAGCAGGACAGGGAAUAUUCUUCAAGCAUGUAGCAGUGAAUAGUUGGGCUUCAGCCUGUAUUUUUCUCACUUCCCAGGAUCUCAGUGAAGAAAAUCAAGUCUCCAAUAAUCCAGAUGGCCACUGAAUGUCCAGUAUGAGUCCAACCCAGUGAGCCUUUCGGACCUGUGUCCCUCAGACUGCUGUGGGCACCUCAGAUUCUGUUCCCAUUAUUCCUCUCUAUAUGAGCCUUUUUAUUCAAACAUAAAAGGUUCCCCCCCCCCGAUACUGCUUUAUUAGGAGUAGGGUGUAGUAUUUUUAAACCACAGAGGUUUGUAGCAACUUGGAUGUUCAGGCAACAAUUCAGAAGGGCAGCUUGUAGAGAAGAACCUCACUGUGCACAGUAACUGCCAGGAAAAUUCUAGAGAAAAUGAGGAGACUACCCGCCAGAUAGCAAACUAUAUUGCAAAGCUACAGAAAUUAAUAUAUUCUCAAACAGAGAAAAAUAAAGAAUCCAGAACCAGAACUAAAUAGCAAGUAAUGACUUGUAAUUGAUAAAGGGGACAUUUAAUACCAGUGGAGAAAAGCUGGCUUAUUCAAUAAAUGGUAUUGGCCGUGUCACUCCCUCAUCAAAAUAAAUUCCAGAUGAACCUUUAAGCACUUAAACAUGAACCAUAAAAGUGCUAAAAUAAAUCAUGAAAGAAUUUUUUAUAAUCUUGGAAAGGGAAGCUUUUAUAAACAUAACACAAAUCCAGAAGCCAUUGAAAACAUUAAAAAAAAAUCUGUAUGACACAAUGCCAUUAAUGAAGUAUUAACUAUACCAAAAAUGUGGUGAGACAAGAUAUGGCUUUUAUUUCCUUCAUGAAAAAGCUCCUCUAAAUUGUUUUUUAAACAAGCAAAACCCAAGAGAAAAACAACAUAACAGAGAGAUUACAAAAAAGAGAAAUACAAAUGGCUCAAAGAUAUAAAAAGAUUAUUAACUUCCCUCGGAAGAUAAGAAAUACAAAUUAGAACUGUAACCUAAUGUUACUCUCAGAUUAGCAAAACUCAAAAAAAAAUUGAUAAUACAAAGACAAGGGAGCCCUCCUUUCACUAUCAAUAAGAAGAGAAAAACACAGGCUGUGAAGUAUACUUGGAAGACAGCUCCUAAAAUUCAAAAUGCACAUUUUCAGUGACCAGAAGAUUCUACUUCCAGGAAUUUGUGCUACUGAGAUAUUCCUCAUAACAUUGACCCAAGAAAAAUCACAGCAGUAUUUUUUUAAACAUCAGAAGAUUGGAAACAAGCUAAAUAUUCAUCAAUAGGGGACUUACUAAAGAAAGGAAAAACGGUCUAUCUGUAAAUGGUAUUUUAUGCCUCCAUUAGAAAGGAAGAGGCAGCAGCUUUAGAAUAAACUUGAAGCUCCAGAAAGGGAACAAAAUAAAGGUUCAGAACUAUAGGAAUUCACCAUCUAUAAUAAAGGAGGAACAUGUCUCCAAAUGUGUUUGCAUAUGCAUAAAACAUUCCUGAAAAUGUCUAAGACAGACCUAGACACCAAUGGUGGCCGAUCUCAGGGAGAAAAACUGGGUGUCUGAGGUUAUGGGUGGUGGGAGGAUUAUUUCACUCUUUUCUGUUUAGAACCCAUGGGAUUUUGUACAAAGUCCAUUUAUUACAUGUCCCCUAAG